UGUGUGUGUGUGUGUGUGUAUGUGUGUAGUGUGUGUGUAGUGUGUGUGUGUACUGUAUGUGUGUAGUGUGUGUGUAGCGUGUGUGUGUGUGUAGUGUGUGUGUAGCGUGUGUAGUGUCCAGACACUCUUCAUAUUAGCAUCAUUAGUGGUUCAGCUGCUUCAGGACUUGAAAUGUUGAAGAUCUUGGACCUUCUUCUGAGGCAUAGAAGACUUCCACAUCAUCCCCUGAAACAAAGUCAACGUCCCCAUAAGGCCCUGUUUAAAAAGGUAGUGCACUACACAGGCAAUAGGGUGCCAUUCGGGACAGAACCAAACACUUUCUUUCAGAAGUCAUUGGUGCUUCCUGCACCUCAUCUGAGACUGUAAAGACUUUAAAGUUAAUACAACAUUUACAUUUCUUUCUUUUUUUUUUAAACGGACAAAUUAAUGAAAUCUCAACUUCCUGCCAAAUAAAAGUAAACUUGUCCAUCCUCUCAAAUACAUAGAGACACAUGAAAUGAAUAUUAGGAGACCUGAUGUACAGAAACCAGUGUUAAAAAUGAUUCAAACAGCUCCUAACUAGAGCCUCAUAACUAUGUUCCAAAUGGCACCUAUUCUCUAUACACUACACUGCUUUGGACCAGAACCCAUCUGGACCGGGACCCAUCUGGACCGGGACCCAUCUGGACCGGGACCCAUCUGGACCGGAGCCCAUCUGGACCGGAGCCCAUCUGGACCGGAGCCCAUCUGGACCGGGACCCAUCUGGACCAGGACCCAUCUGGACCGGGACCCAUCUGGACCAGACCCAUCUGGACCGGGACCCAUCUGGAGCCCAUCUGGACCCAUCUGGACCAGAGCCCAUCUGGACCCAUCUGGACCAGAGCCCAUCUGGACCCAUCUGGACCAGAGCCCAUCUGGACCCAUCUGGACCAGAGCCCAUCUGGACCCAUCUGGACCAGAGCCCAUCUGGACCCAUCUGAACCAGAGCCCAUCUGGACCCAUCUGAACCAGAGCCCAUCUGGACCCAUCUGGACCAGAGCCCAUCUGGACCCAUCUGGACCAGAGCCCAUCUGGACCCAUCUGGACCAGAGCCCAUCUGGACCCAUCUGGACCAGAGCCCAUCUGGACCCAUCUGGACCAGAGCCCAUCUGGGCCCAUCUGGACCAGAGCCCAUCUGGACCCAUCUGGACCAGAGCCCAUCUGGACCCAUCUGGACCAGAGCCCAUCUUGGCCCAUCUGGACUAUACAGGGAAUAGGGUGCCAUUUGGGACGAAUCUUUCAAAAGGAUUGUUGGGGGGGGUCAUAUUUGUCCUGUCACACACAAGUGUAUUUCUUGCAUAUCCCAACUCCCCCGAAACACCUGCAGGGAGUGGGGUCACGGUCAGGGUCACCAUAUCCCAACUCCCCCUGAGACACCUGCAGGGAGUGGGGUCACGGUCAGGGUCACCACAUCCCAACUCCCCCUGAGACACCUGCAGGGAGUGGGGUCACAGUCAGGGUCACCAUAUCCCAACUCCCC
ensembl:lncRNA